rnacentral:lncRNA from 1 species
UCAAAUACAUCUCCAUACUCUGAGAUAACUAGAAGAUCCUGCAACUCAUGUUGACCAUCGAAAUGAUCACCAAAAUUCAUUUACUCCCCAUAUCCAAUAACUCCUCUGCAUGUAGCAUGUAUGCAAAUAAAAUCUGCUCUGCUCCAGAAAUAUGAACUCUUGCCCUCAGGCAAUCCAACAGUACUCGAUGUCGUGAUAACCAGUCCAUCCCAAAACUGAUAUCGCAAAACACAACUCCAUCUCUGACGAGUCUCUGAACCAAUCGGCCCUCCAAGCAUAACUGGUACACCGCAAUCAAUAUAAAUAGCUCCCAACGUUUCUAUGUCAGCUGUCCAAACUGACACAUCUCUGAAAUGAUCAACACUGCCAAAAACUGGAAAACAUACCAAGCA